rnacentral:rRNA from 1 species
UAUAACAGGGUCUGUGAUUGCCCUUAGAUGUUCUGGGCCCGCACGCGCGCUACACUGACGGAGCCAGCGAGUAAUUCCUUGGCCGGAAGGCCCGGGUAAUCUUGUUAAACUCCGUCGUGCUGGGGAUAGAGCAUUGCAAUUAUUGCUCUUCAACGAGGAAUCCCUAGUAAGCGCAAGUCAUCAGCUUGCGUUGAUUACGUCCCUGCCCUUUGUACACACCGCCCGUCGCUACUACCGAUUGAAUGGCUCAGUGAGGCGUCCGGACUGGCCCAGGGAGGUGGGCAACUACCACCCAGGGCCGGAAAGCUCUCCAAACUCGGUCAUUUAGAGGAAGUAAAAGUCGUAACAAGGUCUCCGUUGGUGAACCAGCGGAGGGAUCAUUACCGAGUUAUCCAACUCCCAACCCCUGUGAAUUAUACCUUUAAUUGUUGCUUCGGCGGGACUUCGCGCCCGCCGGGGACCCAAACCUUCUGAAUUUUUUAAUAAGUAUCUUCUGAGUGGUUAAAAAAAAUGAAUCAAAACUUUCAACAACGGAUCUCUUGGUUCUGGCAUCGAUGAAGAACGCAGCGAAAUGCGAUAAGUAAUGUGAAUUGCAGAAUUCAGUGAAUCAUCGAAUCUUUGAACGCACAUUGCGCCCGUCAGUAUUCUGGCGGGCAUGCCUGUUCGAGCGUCAUUACGCCCCUCAAGUCCCCUGUGGACUUGGUGUUGGGGAUCGGCGAGGCUGGUUUUCCAGCACAGCCGUCCCUCAAAUCAAUUGGCGGUCUCGCCGUGGCCCUCCUCUGCGCAGUAGUAAAACACUCGCAACAGGAGCCCGGCGCGGUCCACUGCCGUAAAACCCCCCAACUUUUUAUAGUUGACCCUCGAAUCAGGUAGGACUACCCGCUGAACUUAAGCAUAUCAAUAAGCGGAGGAAAAGAAACCAACAGGGAUUGCCCCAGUAACGGCGAGUGAAGCGGCAACAGCUCAAAUUUGAAAUCUGGUCCCCAGGGCCCGAGUUGUAAUUUGCAGAGGAUGCUUUUGGUGAGGUGCCUUCCGAGUUCCCUGGAACGGGACGCCAUAGAAGGGUGAGAGCCCCGUCUGGUUGGAUACCGAGCCUCUGUAAAGCUCCUUCGACGAGUCGAGUAGUUUGGGAAUGCUGCUCUAAAUGGGAGGUAUAUGUCUUCUAAAGCUAAAUAUUGGGCCAGAGACGUUUAGGCGGCCCAA